rnacentral:rRNA from 1 species
AAACCGGAGGAAGGUGGGGAGGACGUCAAGUCAUCAUGGUCCUUACGUCUAUGGCUACACACGUGCUACAAUGGCCGGUACAAAGGGCUGCAAGCCAGUAAUGGCGAGCCAAUCCUGGAAAGCCGGUCUCAGUGCGGAUUGGGGGCUGCAACCCGCCCCCAUGAAGCUGGAAUCGCUAGUAAUCGUGGAUCAGCUACGCCACGGUGAAUACGUUCCCGGGCCUUGUACACACCGCCCGUCACGCCAUGGAAGCUCGGAGCGCCCGAAGUCCGUGUCGCAACCCUUACGGGGGCAAGCGGCCGAAGGCGAGCCGAGUGACUGGGGCGAAGUCGUAACAAGGUAGCCGUAGGGGAACCUGCGGCUGGAUCACCUCCUAAUCUAGAUGCAUCGCGAGUUAUCG